UCAUAUAUUUAAUUUCAUGUGGGUAUAGACAGCCAAAGAAAAUGGAGAAUACUAUUUAUUCUCAUAAGGCUAUUAUCUCCUGAGUGUCAAAUUUGUCAUGAAAGGAGAAAUGCAGCUACUACUCCUACUUUCAAACAGGACUUUCAACAAUAGAUUCUAAAUAUGAAAAUAUCUGUAUACUCAAAGCCACUGUUCUGCAGAAAACACUAUUACAGCCUGAGAUUGAGCCCUAAUGAUUGGCCUUGGGAUCUUUGAGACUUUGGUCAAACUAAUUUGUAAGCUAUUGCUAAGAAUUAUUGACUCUUUAGUCAAACACUCUGUCCUGGAAAAUCUAACCUAGUGGACCAUUUGAUUAUGAUAUGGUUAAAAAAAAAAAAAAAAAAUCUGGAAUGAAGAUGGCCAGAACUGUAGGAUUUCAAGGAAAAGUACUCUGUAUAACAGUAUCAAAGUUUGUCUGAAUUAUGACCAUUUACCAUUUCCUCAUUAUGGUAAUUAUGCCACAUUAUGAGGCAUUUCUACACAUCACGUCUUGUUUUGAAAAUCUUUAUUUUUAAAUGUGGAUUUAUCUCUGCAAAUUUAUAUAUUUUUAGGGCCAUUUGUAUAAAUUUUGCAACAUUUAAUGGGAUCUCAUACAUGCAGAUCUUAUACAAGUUAGUGUUUUAUGCAAUGUUAUCAUCUGAAAAUAUUUUUCCUAAUAUCAAAGUCUGAAACCUAAAAUCAGGUUUCUACCUGUGUCCAAGAAGAGCAAGACAUUUGAAGAAAGUUUCCAACAUGCCAGUGUGAAACUACAAUCAAUACACAGAAAAUUUCUGUCCUCGUGGAGCAUAUAUUUCAGAAGAAUCAGAAGUAACUGCCUAAUGUUUUCAAGUCAUUGAUGUAGGAAGAGAACUAGGAGAAAGAAACAGUGAUGGAGGAGGAAAAUCUAUGGAUUAUCAUGUAUGAUAUAUAUUUAUUUUUCUGAGUAAUACAUGUAAGUAACUUUAAAAUAAAAUUCUACAGAAGAAUUAAAGUUUGAAUGCAGCUGUCUCCUCCAUCACUCUUUCAAAAUGCAAGGGCUCAAAAAUCAAUGAAAUAAACAGACAAAAAACUGUGUUGUUUUGUUUCUGUUUCAUUGAUUAUGAUAGAUUGCUUCUGGUUUUAGUGACAAAGAUUUUGCUACUGUUUCUUUGGUUUUGGCAAACCCAAAGCUACAGAAAUUAAUCUGCAUUGGAUGAAUGGUGAAAGUAAUCUUAUAUUACUAUUAUCAUGCCUGAAGAUAUUUAAUAGGCUUAUUUUAAAUCUGUAUUCCAUCUGUUCUGUAACUCAGUGACAGAUUAGGUAGAUUGUUCAGUUCGAUGUAGUUCUUUUGAGGAGGUUUUCUUAUGCAAGUGUUUAGUUAUUUUUAACCCUUAUCUCAUUUUCUCUUGGGGUGUCAGCCACUCUCCUUGCAGUAUGGGAUAAAGGUCUAGGGGUAGGUCUCAGUGUUGAUUUUAUCUAUUUGAAGCUACUCUACCAGGCAACAACGAUGAGCAGAGCUGUACAUUUAACUCAUUAUGGUGAAACAGCAUUAGUAUCAGACCUCACACCUAGGUAAAAAUCUAUACCCUAAAGGAUUCGGAGGAGUGAUUAUAGAAGUUGAUCAGUCAAUUCAUCUUCAAAUAAAUUGUUUACCCAUUUAGGAUCUGAAAGUAACUCAAGGAUUCCAGCAC